UGGGGAAUUUUGGACAAUGGGCGAAAGCCCUGAUCCAGCAAUGCCGCGUGUGUGAAGAAGGCCUUCGGGUUGUAAAGCACUUUUGUCCGGAAAGAAAUGGCUCUGGUUAAUACCUGGGGUCGAUGACGGUACCGGAAGAAUAAGGACCGGCUAACUACGUGCCAGCAGCCGCGGUAAUACGUAGGGUCCAAGCGUUAAUCGGAAUUACUGGGCGUAAAGCGUGCGCAGGCGGUUGUGCAAGACCGAUGUGAAAUCCCCGAGCUUAACUUGGGAAUUGCAUGGUGACUGCACGGCUAGAGUGUGUCAGAGGGGGGUAGAAUUCCACGUGUAGCAGUGAAAUGCGUAGAGAUGUGGAGGAAUACCGAUGGCGAAGGCAGCCCCCUGGGAUAACACUGACGCUCAUGCACGAAAGCGUGGGGAGCAAACAGGAUUAGAUCCCUGGUAGUCCACGCCCUAAACGAUNUCAACUAGUUGUUGGGGAUUCAUUUCCUUAGUAACGUAGCUAACGCGUNAAG
rnacentral:rRNA from 1 species